AUACAUCUCUUGAGAUGUUUUCCAGCUGAUACGAUAGAAGCAUUCGGAAUAAGCUUAUCCGUUUCCGCUGCGGUACAUCCAUAUCACAGAUUAUUGAGCUGGAGCCGUCAUCGAAAUAAUCCUGGCAAUUGUUGACUCUCCCAAUACCCAUAACAACAAAUUCGCUCCUUGAGCUUGGUAAUAGCAGCAACAGUGAGUACAUAUGUUGGUAAAGCAUGUUUUAUUUUUAGAGUCUGGUCAAGCUUGCGACUCUGUGGCUUAUCCCCUGCAUCCAGACCUCUCCCUGAUUGGGGGAGCGGAAAAUACCCCAGAUCCCCAGAUUUAUUUCAUGUGGUUUAAUCUACGAUGUUUGACGCACGUCGGCAAAUAAUCCUAUUGUGGGUCCUCAGGGACAACUUCUAAUGUCGUGGGAGCGCGGAGGAUCCGAGGGCUCCAUUGCGUCUUGAGUCAGUUCUUGCGCAAACCGCCGAAAGAAAUGCGCCACAA
rnacentral:sRNA from 1 species